UGUCACCGGAGUUCCUCCACCGAUGCUCUGGUUGCGGCCGGAGGGAGGGAAAGCUGGGACUUGUUUCCACUUGUUCUUAGUAAUCUAUAUAUAGAAGAGCAUAGCUUGUUUUGUACUCCUUCCGUUUCUAAAUAUAAGUCUAUUCCUAAUGGAGCAGUUAGCAGUCUCGCUUUCAGGCACCUGCCCGUAAGGGUUUCCAUGCCCUGCAAGGUCGGAGCGAUGGCGGCGGCGGCAGCGGCAGCAGCAGACAGUCAUACGCACGACGAAUGGUGGCGGCGGCGGCGGCUUCUGGUCAUCAUCCCGUCAGGGUCGUCGUGCGCAAGCACCAACCAGACGGGUCCGGGCACCGGUCGCGAAUGAGCCGGGUCCGUCCGAGGCGCGCCAAGGCAUCGCCAAAGCCCAAGCCCGAGACUCCGGCCAAUCGAACUCGGCAGCCCCCCGUCUUGGCGAUCUCGCGACUCUGGCCAUGUCGAUUGGUCCGGCAACAUAUAGAGAGGAAGCUGCAAAGAAUCUCCAAGUGGAUUUUAGGACCACUACAGCCAAAGUUUUCAUGAAAACUGCAGGGUUGCUUAAGAGGAACAAACAGUUCUUAAGUUCAUUACAUUAGAGUGGCUGCUCAGCUGUAAAUUAGUAAUACAUGCACAUAGAGACUAAUCUGCUAUGUUCAGUAGUAAUACAUCAAUUAAGUUCAGUACAUGGUUCGUGUAUUGCAUAUGAUGGUUCAGAUAUGGUUUAUUCCAUUCAGGCUAUUCUGCUAUGUUGUGAUGAGUUUGGGCAUUUGGAUGAAGAGAGCAAAUCGAUUAUGGAGAAGAAUUUUUGUGUGCCGUGGAUUUGCCAUUGAUGAUUUAGACUUUAGUUUGCACCAUCAUUGUAGUAUUAUAUUACUAAACACUUGAAUUUUUUUUCAUUUAGACAUUUCUUUUUGGUAGGCACACCUAUGUCAACAUAUUGUGCCCUCCUUAAAUUCAGUUACAAGUCUGUGUGUGUGAUGUUGCCUUCUCUUAUGAUGUGCUCAUAGGCCAAAGUGAUUUCUCCUCUCUUUAUCUGUAAAACUAUAACCCAACAUUCUUGGCCGCCCACCCAUGUUUGACUUGGUCUAUAUGGCAGUGUGCAGAAAGCCUGAGCCCAAGAAAACUCCAUUGUGGCUCACUGCUUCUGCUGAUGAGUCGUAUAAAAAGAGUCAUGUGCUAUCCAUUUAUUAUUAUUAUUAUUAUAAGUUCAUCGCUACCACUUUUACUUCUCUUUAUUGUUUUAUGUGCCUUUGUAUAAUAUGCUAUUAUAGGAUAUUUUCUUGUUCCAAUCAAAUCCAUAAUAUAGUUCAUCCUUACUAAAUAGUAGUGUCUACUUAACUAAUCUGUACUAAGAUCUGGUGGCUUUGGUAGUUUCAUCAGUAUCUUGCACUUCUUAUAUAUAAGGCCUCUUUAGGAACUUCUAAAUUUUUAUUUUGUCAUUAGUGGUGUGGUGUGUCUGGUUAAAUUGGUAUUACUAAUAGCUUUCUUUCAGUUUUCUCUUCAAUUACAGCUUGUGGAAUUUGAGGAGAAUCUGUGCACCAGCAUCCGACUCCUUGAUGUUGCUCUGAUCAUAUUGUGUAAAUAUAUUUCUGAUAAAGCAAUCGCCCGAUGGUGUACAUAUUAGAAAUAACAAGAUGUAAUCAUCAAGUGUGAGAGAUGGCAACAUCAUGAUGGGAUGGUAUGUACUGUUGUGCUCAUCAAUAGGGGGAGCUCAAGGUCAUGGCGGGGCUUCGAUUUUUCUUGUAGAAAAGAGAGACAGAGGAGGAUCCAGGGAGGAGGAGAGGUAGGAGAAGAAGGACGGGGAAGUAGGAAGGGUGCAGUAGGGGUGAGUGUGCUUCCGCCUGCCAUGCCCAAGGCUUGAUCUGCCGCCGCCUCUCCUCUACCCAUGCUGUCUGUGACAUGUCAGAUCCCCAGCUGCCGGCACUUCUCCUCUGCCCAUGGGCCAUGGCUGUUCUGAUGCAUCAAAUCCACUGCAGAUCGAUCUGCUGUAACAUUGGCUGGGUGUUCUCUUCUCGACUCUACCAACACUCUGGAGUUACAAGCAAUUACAUCAGGAGCUCGGUCAAAAAUCACCUAAGAAAAAUAUGUCGUUCUUCUCUACAAGGGUUGCAUGUGGAAUUUGAGGAGAAUCUGUGCACCAGCAUCCGACUCCUUGAUGUUGCUCUGAUCAUAUUGUGUAAAUAUAUUUCUAAUAAAGCAAUCGCCCGAUGGUGUACAUGUUAGAAAUAACAAGAUGUAAUCAUCAAGUGUGAGAGAUGGCAACAUCAUAAUGGGAUGGUAUGUACUGUUGUGCUCAUCAAUAGAGUUAGAUCACUUUUCUGUCUGA